rnacentral:tRNA from 1 species
CGGUUUAGCUCAGUUGGUAGAGCACCCGCCUUGUAAGCGGAAGGUCGCCAGUUCAAGUCCGGCAACCGG